rnacentral:rRNA from 1 species
AGGACGAACGCUGGCGGCGUGCUUAACACAUGCAAGUCGAGCGGUAAGGCCCUUCGGGGUACACGAGCGGCGAACGGGUGAGUAACACGUGGGUGACCUGCCCUCAGCUCUGGGAUAAGCCUGGGAAACUGGGUCUAAUACCGGAUAUGACCACAUGUCGCAUGGUGUGUGGUGGAAAGUGCGUUCUUUGUUGAGCGUUUCGGCUGGGGAUGGGCCCGCGGCCUAUCAGCUUGUUGGUGGGGUGAUGGCCUACCAAGGCGACGGACGGGUA